rnacentral:hammerhead_ribozyme from 1 species
ACUCAGCUGAUGAGUCCCAAAUAGGACAUAACGCGCGUCCUAAAA